rnacentral:rRNA from 1 species
AGGACAAACGCUGGCGGCGUGCCUAAGACAUGCAAGUCGAACGGAAGGCUUCGGCCUUGAGUGGCGGACGGGUGAGGAGCGCGUGGAGAACCUGCCCCGGGGUGGGGGAUAACAGUCGGAAACGAUUGCUAAGACCGCAUACGACCAUUCGUUGCAGGAUGAAUGGGGAAAGCAGCGAUGUGCCCUGGGAGGGCUCCGCGUCGGAUUAGCUAGUUGGUGGGGUAACGGCCUACCAAGGCUGCGAUCCGUAGCUGGUCUGAGAGGACGGCCAGCCACACUGGGACUGAGACACGGCCCAGACUCCUACGGGAGGCAGCAGUUAGGGAAUUUUGUCAAUGGGCGAAAGCCUGAACGAGUGACGCCGCGUGCGGGAUGACGCCUUUCGGGUGUAAACCGCUUUUCCCAAGGACGAGGAUGGACGGUACUUGGGGAAUAAGUCUCGGCUAACUACGUGCCAGCAGCCGC